UCUUACCAAGUCCAGUGGACAGUACCAUGUGGUCUUCAUUGGGGAUGGAUCCCCCUAAUAGAACACAGAAAAUGUUUCCAGAACACUCCCCACAUCUCCCAUUGGUUGGACAAACAGAUUGUCCAACCCCAAACUCACACCAUUGGUUGAGGCGGUCAGGAUGCACUCAACCUCAUCUCGAAAUGGCUAAAUAUUAGCCCAGUUAUUCAGCUGUGCUAUUAGCUAUAGCCAAGGCUCCACUUUCUAUUCUUACAGCAAGGAGUGAAAUCUCAUGCAAACUUCUGCCUCAACAUGCAGCUCUUAAACUGACGUGUGUAUUCGAAUGCUUUUGAUUUAAUCAACUCAUCUGACCGAGAUUUUCCGACAUGAAAAAUGCAUGAGCCAACGGCCAAAAACAAACCCAGUGACAAGGUUAUGAGUAAGUGUCUGAGACAUCCACACACUUUGCGGAAGACUGACACACAUUGAUAACUUUCUAAGAUCAAUGUUCAAUUUUGAAUACAAAUUUAAGAUCUUUACUCAAAAAAGCAGCUAUUUUGCCUGUGCAUUAAAAUGCUAAAUUGUUUCAAAGCACACACGAUACUUAAAGAAAAGCCAUAACCCUAAGCAAACCAAACAUUCAAACA